UACGUAGGGUCCGAGCGUUGUCCGGAAUUAUUGGGCGUAAAGGGCUCGUAGGCGGUUCGUCACGUCGGGAGUGAAAACUCGGGGCUUAACCCCGAGCCUGCUUCCGAUACGGGCAGACUGGAGGUAUGCAGGGGAGAACGGAAUUCCUGGUGUAGCGGUGAAAUGCGCAGAUAUCAGGAGGAACACCGGUGGCGAAGGCGGUUCUCUGGGCAUGUCCUGACGCUGAGGAGCGAAAGUGUGGGGAGCGAACAGG
rnacentral:rRNA from 1 species